GAUAAACGCUGGCGGCGUGCCUAAUACAUGCAAGUCGAGCGAACGGACGAGAAGCUUGCUUCUCUGAUGUUAGCGGCGGACGGGUGAGUAACACGUGGAUAACCUACCUAUAAGACUGGGAUAACUUCGGGAAACCGGAGCUAAUACCGGAUAAUAUUUUGAACCGCAUGGUUCAAAAGUGAAAGACGGCCUUGCUGUCACUUAUAGAUGGAUCCGCGCUGCAUUAGCUAGUUGGUAAGGUAACGGCUUACCAAGGCAACGAUGCAUAGCCGACCUGAGAGGGUGAUCGGCCACACUGGAACUGAGACACGGUCCAGACUCCUACGGGAGGCAGCAGUAGGGAAUCUUCCGCAAUGGGCGAAAGCCUGACGGAGCAACGCCGCGUGAGUGAUGAAGGUCUUCGGAUCGUAAAACUCUGUUAUUAGGGAAGAACAUAUGUGUAAGUAACUGUGCACAUCUUGACGGUACCUAAUCAGAAAGCCACGGCUAACUACGUGCCAGCAGCCGCGGUAAUACGUAGGUGGCAAGCGUUAUCCGGAAUUAUUGGGCGUAAAGCGCGCGUAGGCGGUUUUUUAAGUCUGAUGUGAAAGCCCACGGCUCAACCGUGGAGGGUCAUUGGAAACUGGAAAACUUGAGUGCAGAAGAGGAAAGUGGAAUUCCAUGUGUAGCGGUGAAAUGCGCAGAGAUAUGGAGGAACACCAGUGGCGAAGGCGACUUUCUGGUCUGUAACUGACGCUGAUGUGCGAAAGCGUGGGGAUCAAACAGGAUUAGAUACCCUGGUAGUCCACGCCGUAAACGAUGAGUGCUAAGUGUUAGGGGGUUUCCGCCCCUUAGUGCUGCAGCUAACGCAUUAAGCACUCCGCCUGGGGAGUACGACCGCAAGGUUGAAACUCAAAGGAAUUGACGGGGACCCGCACAAGCGGUGGAGCAUGUGGUUUAAUUCGAAGCAACGCGAAGAACCUUACCAAAUCUUGACAUCCUUUGACAACUCUAGAGAUAGAGCCUUCCCCUUCGGGGGACAAAGUGACAGGUGGUGCAUGGUUGUCGUCAGCUCGUGUCGUGAGAUGUUGGGUUAAGUCCCGCAACGAGCGCAACCCUUAAGCUUAGUUGCCAUCAUUAAGUUGGGCACUCUAAGUUGACUGCCGGUGACAAACCGGAGGAAGGUGGGGAUGACGUCAAAUCAUCAUGCCCCUUAUGAUUUGGGCUACACACGUGCUACAAUGGACAAUACAAAGGGCAGCGAAACCGCGAGGUCAAGCAAAUCCCAUAAAGUUGUUCUCAGUUCGGAUUGUAGUCUGCAACUCGACUACAUGAAGCUGGAAUCGCUAGUAAUCGUAGAUCAGCAUGCUACGGUGAAUACGUUCCCGGGUCU
rnacentral:rRNA from 1 species